AUGUUGAUUUUGAUGAUACUGUUUGUGUAUCAGAAUGAGAACAUGGUUGGGUUCUAUGUGUGCCUUAGUUUGAUGAAUUCUUGGCUUAAAUAUUGAAUUUAAUAAUAAAACUUGUUUAUAAAUAAUGAAUGUCAAUCUUCCAUUAGUUGCAUUGAGAAAGAUUUGAAAUUUUGAGUUUGGUGCAGAAUGCUUGCUCGACUUUUAUGGUUUUAUCUAUACGAUUGAUAAAGUAUAAUGGGUAAUUGGCUAAUUGCUGGCUAUAUAUGUUAUAUGUUUCCAGUAGUGUGUAUAAUAAUUGAAUCAAAUCUUGAAAUAACUUGCUCGAGUAUCAUCUCUUGAUUCUUGCUUAAUUGUUUCGUUCUUUGAUGUUUUAUUGUUAUUUGGAUAACUUUUUUUAUGUAUCAAGUAUAAUCUAUUGUUGAUUCUGAUUUUACUGAACACUAUUCUUAACACGCAGCCUAUUCCUACCUGCUCGAGGCAUACCAUUUGAGAACCCAUUCAACAGCUGAAUUACAGCAUAUUGAGCUUUCUAGGCUUUUCUCCAACGUCUCGCUGACUGAUGAAGGGGAUAAAUAGAGCUGGUCUUUGGACUCAAAUGGGUUAUUUUCGGUCAGUGGGUUGAGGAGGUGCUUGGUGCAAAACAACCAAACGGAUGCAGCUACUGUCUACUCGUGGAAUCGAUGGAUUCCGCUCAAGGUUAACUUUCUAGUGUGGAGGUUAAACUUGAAUAGACUAUCAACGCGGGUGUCUUUGUUAAGGAGAGGCGUACAAGUGCCAUCCGCUUUGUGUGAGUUGUGUCGAGAUGAAGAGGAGUCUACUGAAGACGUUUUCUGCACGUGCCCGUUCACGCAAAAGGUUUGGGAUGGAAUUGCGAGGUGGUGCAGAUUCCAGCCAUUUAUUAUUUUUUUUUUUGGCUUGGGUGAUCCGGUAAAUUAUCAUGUACAUGUGAUGGGCUCAAAAGUCUGGAAACAAUUGAUAUACUCAGGUCUUUCAAACGACGAUUUGGUGUAUUUGGUCGAGCAGAAAUAACUUGGUGUUUGAGCGGGGGAAGUGCUCGCCUAAAAGGGUGCUGGAAGAAACAAAGACAUGGGGUUUUUGUGGAUAAAACAUCGAGCCAAAGCGACGACAUUGACAUGGGAAAAGUGGAGUGAUUUUGAUGUUUCUUGCUUUGGUGGGUACUGUGUAAUGUUGUACUUGUACUGGUGUAUGGUACUUAACGUGGUUAACACAAUUUUGUUGACCCGUUUUAUAAUAAAAAUUAGUUGGCCG
rnacentral:lncRNA from 1 species